rnacentral:rRNA from 1 species
CUACGGGAGGCAGCAGUGGGGAAUAUUGGACAAUGGGGGAAACCCUGAUCCAGCAAUGCCGCGUGUGUGAAGAAGGCCUGCGGGUUGUAAAGCACUUUCGGUUGGGAGGACUGCUUCUAGCACUAAUAUUGUUGGAAGUUGACGUUACCUUCAGAAGAAGCACCGGCUGAACUCCGUGCCAGCAGCCGGCGGUAAUACGGAGGGUGCAAGCGUUAAUCGGAAUUACUGGGCGUAAAGCGCGCGUAGGCGGCUGGAUCAGUCGGGUGUGAAAGCCCCGGGCUUAACCUGGGAACUGCAUCCGAUACUGUCUAGCUUGAGUACAGGAGAGGAGAGUGGAAUUCCACAUGUAGCGGUGAAAUGCGUAGAUAUGUGGAGGAACACCAAUGGCGAAGGCAGCUCUCUGGCCUGAUACUGACGCUGAGGUGCGAAAGCGUGGGGAGCAAACAGGAUUAGAUACCCUCGUAGUC